rnacentral:lncRNA from 1 species
UUGAUUAACAUUCUGGUUUAAAUUGUGUGUUGUCAUGUCUUUCUAUUUAAUUGCCUUGCUUAAGUAUGUUGUAUGUUAUGAAUGAUUAAAAAACUAACCGAAUGUAUUUUAAUUGAUUCAGAUAUCAGAGGUUCUUUGUGAACUAGAGUUCACCAUAAAGAGAAUGAAUAUCUCUACUACACCAGAUGGCAUAGUGAUGGAUCUCUUUUCAAUCAAGUGUACAUGGUUAUAGAAUUUUACAGAUGAAGUUUUAUAAUGAACUAGUGUGCCAUCAUGAUAGUUUUCCUUUAUAUCUUGUAAUGUAAAACCAUUUUUUCUUAGCUCAAGAAAUGUGCUUUUAAACUAACUGACCUGCACAAUCUUAUAUACUAAAGGAACUUCUACAUACAAAGAAGAGAAGGGAAAACAAAGUAAGGAUCAUAUUAAUUAUUAGAAGUUACUUACUUUGUUUAUCAUGUCACAAUGACAGGUAUUUCCUAGUGCUUAAAAGGAAUUUGUGGAUUCAAUCAUUUUACAAGUAUGAACUCUCUCUUUUGUGGUCUUGCACUUUUGCUUAAGAUACCAAAUAUUUCUUCCAAUUAUAGUAUAUAAUCAUUGGUCUGAGCUAGAUACCUUUAUAUGCUUUGUUUGAAUGAGCUUGUAUAUUUUCCCUUUCAACUUCGAGUAGCAUAAUGUAACCAUAGUAACAAAAGAGAAGCAAUUGUUAAUGAGAAUCGGAAAUACAAUGUCAGUGUUCACUUUGCAGCUGCAAGGGAGGGAAUUUUAAUUUCAGGUGACAUACCUUGAAAUUCAUUUGUUAAC